UAGCGAACAAGUACCGCG
rnacentral:snRNA from 1 species